GUGCUGAGGUGACUUUCAUGUCUGUGCUGCAGCAUUUCUUUCCUCAGUGUUGCAGGAAUUGUGAUCUUUUCUCCUUUGAAAAGUAUUCCUUCUGCUACAUGAAGUUCCUCACGAAAGUUCCAGUUCUCUUGUACAGCAGAAGGGGCUCCGCUCCGUGGUGUGGGCCAGCUAGUUCCAGUUCUCUUGUACAGCAGAAGGGGCUCCGCUCCGUGGUGUGGGCCAGCUAGUUCCAGUUCUCUUGUACAGCAGAAAGGGCUCCGCUCCGGAAUGUGGACCAUCUAGUUUGCACAAUCUGCUGCAGUUUUCUCAGACUUGCUUCCCUGAUCUCAUCCAGUUUGGUUACAGCCACAGGCUCCUUUCUCCAGCUCUGGCCAGCACCUGCCUCAGUUUGUGUUCGUGUUCUUCUCAUGAAGCUCCCCAGACAAGCACAUCAUCGACAUAGGUUUCCACACCCUCUAUCCCAUCAAACAGCUGCUUCACUGUUCUGUGGAACACCUCCAGAGCUGAAUUAAUACCAAAAGAUACUUAUUGCUUUCUCCAGCGUGAGGUCAACUUCUCUCAAAAGCCGUUCUCUCAGAGAAUCAUUUGCAUUUCUGUAAAUUAUUCUGUCUCAG